rnacentral:lncRNA from 1 species
UUCUUUUCUUUUCUUUUUUUUUUAAGAAUUGGGAGGAAACGUUUCGCCCUGUUCUCAUCACCUCUUAGACUGAGUCAGCUCACAGGUACAGCAGCACCAGCAGCAAGAGAGCACUUGCUUGGCUACGCAGCUCACCCUUUCUCCUAGCAAAGAAGGCGGGAGAGCCCUGGGGAGCAACUCUGAAUGGCCCUUUUUAUAACAGCAGCACCUCAAGAGAGCAUGUGUUUCCAUCAGUGCUCACACAGGGAGCUGGAGCCACCCUGGCAGGAGAAGUCACUGCCAAACCUGUCUCCCUGGCACGGCAAUGCCGAGUAAUUAAAGACGGUAAUUACAGCCCUGUGUCUGGUGUCAAAGCCAGGGCUCUUUCCAGUCGGACUGUGAUUCUCCUCUCCCUGAGUGCACAAGCAUACAGGUCCUAGGGGCUGGGGAGCCCAGCUACUCUAAGCUAUGGCUUCUGUUCUCCGGCUGCUCUCAGUAAUUCAUCCAGAUGGACUGGGCUGCAUGCUCCUGAACUGGGUCCUCGGCAGUCCCGCCUGAUACAUCCACAGGCAGCCCUGACAGUGGGAAAGUGGCCGCAGGCUCUGGGGGGGUU